rnacentral:rRNA from 1 species
GGGUGCAAGCGUUAUCCGGAUUCACUGGGUUUAAAGGGUGCGUAGGCGGGUUGGUAAGUCAGUGGUGAAAUCUUCAAGCUUAACUUGGAAACUGCCGUUGAUACUAUCAAUCUUGAAUGUUGUGGAGGUAAGCGGAAUAUGUCAUGUAGCGGUGAGAUGCUUAGAUAUGACAUAGAACACCAAUUGCGAAGGCAGCUCACUACACAGCGAUUGACGCUGAGGCACGAAAGCGUGGGGAUCAAACAGG